rnacentral:rRNA from 1 species
CCUACGGGUGGCAGCAGUAGGGAAUCUUCCACAAUGGGCGAAAGCCUGAUGGAGCAACGCCGCGUGGGUGAAGAAGGUCUUCGGAUCGUAAAACUCUGUUGUUAGAGAAGAAAGUGCGAGAGAGUAACUGUUCACGUUUCGACGGUACCUAACCAGAAAGCCACGGCUAACUACGUGCCAGCAGCCGCGGUAAUACGUAGGUGGCAAGAGUUAUCCGGAAUUAUUGGGCGUAAAGGGAACGCAGGCGGUCUUGUAAGUCUGAUGUGAAAGCCUUCGGCUUAACCGGAGUAGUGCAUUGGAAACUGGGAGACUUGAGUGCAGAAGAGGAGAGUGGAAUUCCAUGUGUAGCGGUGAAAUGCGUAGAUAUAUGGAAGAACACCAGUGGCGAAGGCGGCUCUCUGGACUGUAACUGACGCUGAGGUGCGAAAGCGUGGGGAGCAAACAGGAUUAGAUACCCCAGUAGUC